GCAAGUAGUAAUGUGUUUGAUUUGUUCGGGAUCAAAUUACAAGUUUCUAAGAUAAGAUAUCGAUGUGAAUAUGUAUAUAACACACCCAAUAAAAAUUAUCCUCAUAUAUGUUUAACUUUGGAAGAGUGUGUAGAAUGAAGAAAAUUGUGAUAAACUUGAAUAACUUAUAUGUUUUCUUGUAGAUGAUUCUCUCAAUAUUUGAAGAUUAAUACUUCUCUAUUAUAACUGCCUCUAGAGCUUCAAACAUAUGGGUUAGCAAAAUAUAGUUGUUGUAGAUUUUGUUAAGUUUUCUUGAACUUGUCUUUAUUUGUAAAAUUGUCGUUUAACCUUUAUCCUCAUGUUAAGUAUGCCUAGAUGAUGAGCGUUGCGUUAUAUCAUCAGAUCUGAGUUGUAGGAGGAUGAAACUUUCAUUAAUUCUGAUAUGACUUGUGUUUUUUGGUUUUUUUCUUUCACAACAAUUAUGGUUGUUUGCCUUAUAAGUUAAGGACGUCACUUUUUGUAUUAGGUACUUUUACUCACUUUUCCAUGUGCGAGGAUGAAUAGACAACAAAAGUUCAUCAUUUUCUCUGUGUUGUUUAUCCUCUUACAUAAAUUCAUCAUCUUUUCAGUAUUGUUUAUCCUCUAACAUAUAGAUAUAAAAUCAUCAUCUUUUUUUGUGUUGUUUAUCUUCUGACAUAGAUGAUAUAAAUUUAUCAUCUCUUCAAUAUUGUUUAUCCUCUCACAUAUAUGACAUAAAUCAAUCAUCUCUUUUGUGUUGUUUAUUUUGUGACAUAGAGAACAUAAAUUUAUCAUUUAUUCAGUAUUGUUUAUCCUCUGACAUAGAGAACAUAAAUUCAUCAUUUCGUAAGUGUUGUUUAUACUUUGUGUAUGUCCUCGUAUCUGAUUUAAGUACGAUGAUAGAGUUUCUAUUUUAUUGAGUUUUUAUGUGAUUGUCACUUUUUGUUUUCCCUUUUCCAACCACCUUGACCAAUGUGUCAUUCAUGUUAAGUAUUUCACCUUUUUGUACCUUUAUACUUUUUUGUAUGUGUCAUAUUUGUUAUGAGAAUAUCAUAUGUGUCUAUCCUUAUCUUAAGAUUGCAUUCAUAAUCAGAUCGAUGUAACCGAUUUUAAAUAUGUUCAUAGAUAAUCAUCCUUGUAUCUAUGUAAGUCUUUGAAAGAUGAUCGAUUAUAUUCCAACCAUAUAUACAUUCCAAUUCACCAUUGAUUAUAUUCUGAUUAUUUUUUAAAAGAAUCAAAAUCAAUUAAUAAACCCUUAUAUAUCUAUUUUAAGAAAAUGUUUAUUAUUACGAGAGAAUAUUCACAAGAAAGCAAAUGGAAAUUGAUUGGGAGGGGGUUUAAUUUGGAGGUGUGACACAAACCUGUCCCUCAAAAAGUGUGGAUGUUUGUUUGGAGGCUAAUCCAAAAAAGGAUACAUGUAAUUUGAUGAAGAUGGGGAUUCUUGAACAAAGGGAGAUAUGGUGUUGCUAAUGGUACUGGCUGGCUUACAGCUUCAGUGAAUGAUGAAAGGUUGCAUUUAGUGUAUGCAUACCAAACAAGAGGAACAUGUUUAUGUUUUGAAUGUGUGGUUAACUUUAUUUUAGAAAAAUACCCUUUCGUUAUGCUUAUUAUGUAUCAGAUUCCGAUCUUUUUUUUUAAGGUUGUGUUGGGUGUUUAAUUAGUG
rnacentral:lncRNA from 1 species